rnacentral:rRNA from 1 species
AUACGGAUGGUGCGAGCGUUGUUCGGAAUUACUGGGCGUAAAGGGCGCGUAGGCGGCGAUGUAAGUCAAAUGUGAAAGUCCUCGGCUUAACCGGGGAAGUGCAUCUGAAACUGCAUUGCUUGAGUAUGGGAGAGGAAAGUGGAAUUCCCGGUGUAGAGGUGAAAUUCGUAGAGAUCGGGAGGAAUACCGGUGGCGAAGGCGACUUUCUGGACCAAUACUGACGCUGAGGCGCGAAAGCGUGCGGAGCAAACAGGAUUAGAAAACCUAGUAGUCC